UGGCUCUCGCAUCGAUGAAGAACGCAGCGAAAUGCGAUAAGUAAUGUGAAUUGCAGAAUUCAGUGAAUCAUCGAAUCUUUGAACGCACCUUGCGCUCCUUGGUAUUCCGAGGAGCAUGCCUGUUUGAGUGUCAUUAAAUUCUCAACCCCUCCAGUUGUCAUUGACUGGUUGGGGCUUGGAUGUGGGAGUUUGCGGGUCCUUUGUUCAUAAGGUCGGCUCUCCUGAAAUGCAUUAGCGGAACCGUUUGCAGUCCCCGUCACUAGUGUGAUAAUUAUCUACACUGUGAAUAGAUUGCUCUCUGACUAGUUCAGCUGCUAAUCGUCCAGAACGGACAACUUGAUAUGACUAUCUUGACCUCAAAUCAGGUAGGACUACCCGCUGA
rnacentral:misc_RNA from 1 species